ACGCUCGACACCUACGGGAGGCAGCAGUCGGGAAUAUUGCGCAAUGGAGGAAACUCUGACGCAGUGACGCCGCGUGCAGGAAGAAGGUUUUCGGAUUGUAAACUGCUUUAGACAGGGAAGAAAGAAAUGACAGUACCUGUAGAAUAAGCUCCGGCUAACUACGUGCCAGCAGCCGCGGUAAUCUGAGCGGGCUGGCAAGGC
rnacentral:rRNA from 1 species